rnacentral:sRNA from 1 species
CAGGCGGGCGGGAGGGCAGGCACGGAGAGGCGGGCGCCGAGGAGGGGCAGGUAGGGCUGGGACGCAGGGGUAACUGGAUCCCCCGACUUCAGCCCAGGCCCUGGUCUGACCACCCUGGGAGCAGGGACUUUCCACAGUCAGCUGGACGCACACUCAGCCCAGUAAAAGAGGGGACCCAUCCCGGGAGCCCCGGGGAGGGCACAGCUGCCUCCUCCCGGGCUCCCCUGCCACCUGGUGCCUACCUGCCCCCUGCUCCCUGCCGGGUCCGGUCCUCACCUCAUCUUCAUCUGGCCUUGACUCUGCCCUUGAGGGGCCUAGGGGUGCAGCCGGCCUGCUCCGAGCUCCCCUGCAGAUGGAGGAGGCCAUCCUGGUCCCCUGCAUGCUGGGGCUCCUGCUGCUGCCCAUCCUGGCCAUGUUGAUGGCACUGUGUGUGCACUGCCACAGACUGCCAGGCUCCUACGACAGCACAUCCUCAGAUAGUUUGUAUCCAAGGGGCAUCCAGUUCAAACGGCCUCAUCCCCGCAGCCCCUUGGGGGCUCCCACCGGACGCCAUCUUCCCGGCGGGAUUCUGAUGGUGCCAACAGUGUGGCGAGCUACGAGAACGAGGAACCAGCCUGUGAGGAUGCGGAUGAGGAUGAGGACGACUAUCACAACCCGGGCUACCUGGUGGUGCUUCCUGACAGCACCCCGGCCACUAGCACUGCUGCCCC